UCCAGAUGUGGUGGUGUGUGCCUGUAGUCCCAGCUUCUCAGGAGGCUGAGGCAGGAAAAUCACUUGAGCCCAGGAGUUCUGGGCUGUAGAGAGCUAUGCCAAUUGGGUGUCUGCACUAAGUUUGGCAUCAGUAUGGUGACCUCCCAGGAGCGGAGGCCCACCAAGUUGCCAAAGGGGUAUGGGGUGAACCAGCACAGGUUGGAAAUGGAGCGGGUCAAAACUCCCUUGCUGAUCAGUAAUGGGAUCUCACCUGUGAAUAGCCACUGCACACCAGCCUUGGCAGCAUAGUGAGACCCUGUCUCU
rnacentral:SRP_RNA from 1 species